rnacentral:rRNA from 1 species
CUAAAACGUCCGUAGCCGGUCUGAUACAUUCGUGGGUAAAUCAACCAGCUCAACUGGUUGAAUUCUGCGAGGACGGCCAGACUUGGGACCGGGAGAGGUGUGGGGUACUCUCAGGGUAGGGGUAAAAUCCUGUCAUCCUGAGAGGACCACCUGUUGCGAAGGCGCCACACUAGAACGGAUCCGACGGUCAGGGACGAAGCCUAGGGGCACGAACCGGAUUAGAUACCCGGGUAGUCCUAGGUGUAAACGCUGUGGACUUGAUGUUGGGGGUGCUCCGAGCACUCUCAGUGUCGAAGCGAAGGUGAUAAGUCCACUGCCUGGGAAGUACGGUCGCAAGGCUGAAACUUAAAGGAAUUGGCGGGGGAGCACAAG